GCGUGUGUGAAGAAGGCCUGCGGGUUGUAAAGCACUUUCAGUUGGGAGGAAAAGCUUGAGGCUAAUAUCCUCAAGUCUUGACGUAACCAACAGAAGAAGCACCGGCUAACUCCGUGCCAGCAGCCGCGGUAAUACGGAGGGUGCGAGCGUUAAUCGGAAUUACUGGGCGUAAAGCGUGCGUAGGCGGAUACUUAAGUCAGAUGUGAAAGCCCCGGGCUCAACCUGGGAAUUGCAUCUGAUACUGGGUGUCUCGAGUGCAGUAGAGGGGGGUAGAAUUCCUAGUGUAGCGGUGAAAUGCGU
rnacentral:rRNA from 1 species